GUGGGGAAUAUUGGACAAUGGGCGAAAGCCUGAUCCAGCCAUGCCGCGUGUGUGAAGAAGGUCUUCGGAUUGUAAAGCACUUUAAGUUGGGAGGAAGGGCAGUAAGUUAAUACCUUGCUGUUUUGACGUUACCGACAGAAUAAGCACCGGCUAACUUCGUGCCAGCAGCCGCGGUAAUACGAAGGGUGCAAGCGUUAAUCGGAAUUACUGGGCGUAAAGCGCGCGUAGGUGGUUUUGUAAGUUGGAGGUGAAAUCCCCGGGCUCAACCUGGGAACUGCCUCCAAAACUGCAUGACUAGAGUACGGUAGAGGGUAGUGGAAUUUCCUGUGUAGCGGUGAAAUGCGUAGAUAUAGGAAGGAACAUCAGUGGCGAAGGCGACUACCUGGACUGAUACUGACACUGAGGUGCGAAAGCGUGGGGAGCAAACAGGAUUAGAAACCCGUGUAGUCC
rnacentral:rRNA from 1 species